rnacentral:rRNA from 1 species
AUUGAACGCUGGCGGCAUGCCUUACACAUGCAAGUCGAACGGCAGCACGGGGCAACCUGGUGGCGAGUGGCGAACGGGUGAGUAAUGCAUCGGAACGUACCUUUCAGUGGGGAUAACGUAGCGAAAGUUACGCUAAUACCGCAUAUUCUGUGAGCAGGAAAGCAGGGGAUCGCAAGACCUUGCGCUGAUUGAGCGGCCGAUGUCAGAUUAGCUAGUUGGUGAGGUAAAGGCUCACCAAGGCGACGAUCUGUAGCGGGUCUGAGAGGAUGAUCCGCCACACUGGAACUGAGACACGGUCCAGACUCCUACGGGAGGCAGCAGUGGGGAAUUUUGGACAAUGGGGGCAACCCUGAUCCAGCCAUGCCGCGUGAGCGAAGAAGGCCUUCGGGUUGUAAAGCUCUUUCGGCCGGGAAGAAAUCGCACGGGCUAAUACCCUGUGUGGAUGACGGUACCGGAAUAAGAAGCACCGGCUAACUACGUGCCAGCCGCCGCCGUAAAAC